CCCCAAGCUUGUAGCAUAAAUUAUCUUUUCAUAUUCAUGGAUAAGUGCAGCACUCACAACCAUCCCACCAUUCAAAAUGAGGAAAUCAGUCUUGAAUGGAAGUUCAUAAACAUGACAGAGCAAGAAGAAGAUAUCAUAUGUAGAAUGCACAAGCUUGUGGGGGACAAGUGGGUAUUAAUAGCUGGAAGAAUUCCAGGAAGAAGUCCAGCAGAGAUUGAAAGAUUUUGGUUGAUGAGAAACCCUAAGACCAAGUCUUGACAUGUAUGAUUCAGACAUUAAUAAUGUCAGAGAGAAGAGAUGGAUAUCUUAUCAUUAUGUAGUUGUGCCUCUUAUCGUAUUUGGAUUUCAAUUUUCAUUCACAAAUAUAAUGCCUACCACUACAAAGGUAACUGUCAUGCUUUGUACUACUAGAUUCUCCAUAAUUUUCUAUGAAUAAAUACUCCAUUUUGAUCUGUCACAA